UGCUUAGGCCAUAAUAAAGAAGGACAUAUAUGGAUCCAUAAUAAAGAAGGACAUAUAUGGAUCCAUAAUAAAGAAGGACAUAUAUGGAUCCAUAAUAAAGAAGGACAUAUAUGGAUCCAUAAUAAAGAAGGACAUAUAUGGAUCCAUAAUAAAGAAGGACAUAUAUGGAUCCAUAAUAAAGAAGGACAUAUAUGGAUCCAUAAUAAAGAAGGACAUAUAUGGAUCCAUAAUAAAGAAGGACAUAUAUGGAUCCAUAAUAAAGAAGGACAUAUAUGGAUCAUUCCGUUUGCGGAACAUAGGAAAUCCCCAGUCAGCAUCAAUGGCAAUGAAGUUGCAUCUACGAUGAGUGUAACCCUUACUCCAGGUUGUCUAAUUGAGGUAAGGGGAUUGCCAUUUAUAUUCAAGACAAACGAUAUGCAAAUAAAGAAGCAGGAGAACGAGUUGUUCACGGGACCCUAAACCUUUCGUUAGACGAUGAACGGAGGCUGGAAGAUUUUCAGGGUCUAUUUUGUACACAACUUCCUGUGAUGUAUUAGAUGGCUAAUCUUGUAAAUCGCAGUGAGCUGAGAUGGUUGCAUAGAGGCAGCUCUGAGCAGCCGGUAAUGGGCUGAGAUGGUUGAAAUGCUGUUGCCAACAUCUCUCUCUCUCUCUCUCUCUCUCUCUCUGUGCACGCUCGCGCAGAGCUUUUUGGCAGUAACAAUGGAAGACUUGGGAUGGUCGAGUUAUGGUGGCGGUGGUGACUGGAGGCUACAGACGGUUUAGUGGCAAGGGGUUCGUACUUUGUUGCUCGAUGAACCUCAUUCACCUGAUUUGCCACUGGUUCCGGCGUAAUAUGUGAUGUUAUAAGUGGUGGCAACGGUAGCGUCGGUCUAAGAUGGUGUAUCAUAAGCGUGCAAAAUUUGUUAUAGAAUUGGGAUCACUAGCACGGAUGAAUUGAACUAAACUUUGUAUUUUCUCUCUCUUUUAAUCCUAUCUAACGUCUUUUUUAAUUA